rnacentral:tRNA from 1 species
GGCUUGGUGGUCUAGUGGCUACCGCUUCUGAUUCGAAAUCAGAAGAUCCUGGGUUCAAUCCCUGCCCGUCCA